CAAUAGCGUAUAUUAAAGUUGUUGUGGUUAAAAGCUCGUAGUUGGAUCUCGGCGGACUGAGGGCGGUUUGCUUGCUAGUAUUACUGCCCUAUAGUCCGUAGUUUUGCCAGAGGUUUCGGGGUGCUCUUAAUCGAGUGUCCCGGGAUGCUGGCAGGUUUACUUUGAAAAAUUAGAGUGCUCAAAGCAGGCUAUUACGCCUGAAUAUUCGUGCAUGGAAUAAUAGAAUAGGACCUCGGUUCUAUUUUGUUGGUUUUCGGAAGUCGAGGUAAUGAUUAAGAGGGACAGACGGGGGCAUUCGUACUGGGCCGCCAGAGGUGAAAUUCUUUAACUGGCUCAUGACGAACCACUGCGAAAGCAUUUGCCAAGAAUGUUUUCAUUAAUCAAGAACGAAAGUCAGAGGGUCGAAGACGAUCAGAU
rnacentral:rRNA from 1 species